rnacentral:rRNA from 1 species
CUACCAUGGCAGUCACGGGUAACGGGGAAUUAGGGUUCGAUUCCGGAGAGGGAGCCUGAGAAACGGCUACCACAUCUAAGGAAGGCAGCAGGCGCGUAAAUUACCCAAUCCUGAUUCAGGGAGGUAGUGACAAGAAAUAACAACCUGGAGUCUCACGACUUGCGGGAUUGCAAUGAGAACAAUUUAAACCUCUUAACAAGGAACAAUUGGAGGGCAAGUCUGGUGCCAGCAGCCGCGGUAAUUCCAGCUCCAAUAGCGUAUAUUAAAGUUGUUGCAGUUAAAAAGCUCGUAGUUGAACUUCUGGGCGUUCGGAGCGGGGUCAAACCAGCUCAUGGGCGUUCAUCCGUCUGAGAACCAUAUUCGAUCUUCACUGGUCGGUAUGGGAAUCAGGCACUUUACUUUGAAAAAAUUAGAGUGUUCCAGGCAGACAUUUGUCUUGAAUACACAAGCAUGGAAUAAUGGAAUAGGACUAAUAUCCAUUUUAUUGGUAUAUUGGAGUUAGUAAUGAUUAACAGGGACAGUUGGGGGCAUUAGUAUUUAAUUGUCAGAGGUGAAAUUCUUGGAUUUAUUAAAGACUAACUUAUGCGAAAGCAUUUGCCAAGGAUGUUUUCAUUAAUCAAGAACGAAAGUUAGGGGAUC